rnacentral:tRNA from 1 species
GGGCUCGUAGUUCAGUGGUAGAACGUCGCUUUGACGUGGCGAAGGUCAGCGGUUCAAUCCCGCUCGGGCCCA